rnacentral:rRNA from 1 species
UGGGGAAUCUUGCGCAAUGGGCGAAAGCCUGACGCAGCCAUGCCGCGUGAAUGAUGAAGGUCUUAGGAUUGUAAAAUUCUUUCACCGGGGACGAUAAUGACGGUACCCGGAGAAGAAGCCCCGGCUAACUUCGUGCCAGCAGCCGCGGUAAUACGAAGGGGGCUAGCGUUGCUCGGAAUUACUGGGCGUAAAGGGAGCGUAGGCGGACUGUUUAGUCAGAGGUGAAAGCCCAGGGCUCAACCUUGGAAUUGCCUUUGAUACUGGCAGUCUUGAGUACGGAAGAGGUAUGUGGAACUCCGAGUGUAGAGGUGAAAUUCGUAGAUAUUCGGAAGAACACCAGUGGCGAAGGCGACAUACUGGUCCGUUACUGACGCUGAGGCUCGAAAGCGUGGGGAGCAAACAGGAUUAGAUACCCCGGUAGUCCCUGAGCGGGCUGGCAAGGCGCAU